UUAGCCGGGAAUCUGGGGCACACGUUGCGGCCCUGUCCCACUUUCCCGAGUUACUCACGAACUCUCCCGAGAUUUCCCCUUGAUUCAAACUUGGGGACUGUCGGGGAAUGUCGGCAGCGAGCUCGUAGGAGACCAUAGGAGUCUGUAAAUGUUUCAUAGCGGCUCGUAAUGCCAGCCGUAGGUACUCGGGGCAUCAGGUAAGUCGGGAUGUUUUUUCAACAUGUUGAAAAAUGUCCACGA